UGCGAGUGAGAGUGAGAGUGAGAUUGCAACUGAAUUUGAGAUAGGGAUUGUUCCAGUGUUCGAUUACGAUCUUCGUCAGAGAUCUCCAUGAAAGCGACGAGAGAGAGAGAGAGAGACAGAGAGAGAGAGAGAGAGAGAGAGAGAAACAAGAACUAACAUUCAGAGUAUGGUCUGGGCCUUAAAUGCAAAUAUGUGACCAGCUCAACAAUAAUAGAAGUUAACAACUCUGGAAGCAAAUGAAAG